rnacentral:rRNA from 1 species
UACAGAGGGUGCGAGCGUUAAUCGGAAUUACUGGGCGUAAAGCGUGCGUAGGCGGCUAUAUAAGUUGGAUGUGAAAUCCCCGGGCUUAACCUGGGCACUGCAUUCAAGACUGUAUAGCUAGAGUCUGGGAGAGGGUGGUGGAAUUUCCUGUGUAGCGGUGAAAUGCGUAGAUAUAGGAAGGAACAUCAGUGGCGAAGGCGACUGCCUGGCCCAAGACUGACGCUGAGGUACGAAAGCGUGGGGAGCAAACAGG